rnacentral:tRNA from 1 species
CGGGUGCGUGGGGCGCGGCUCGCGGCCCUUCAGACCGGGUUGCUGACGGCUGCGGCGCGGGAGCGGCUGCGCAGGAUCCUGACCUUCCACAGCCGG